rnacentral:rRNA from 1 species
CUUUCUACAGGCUUAACACAUGCAAGUCGAGGGGCAGCAUGAACUUAGCUUGCUAAGUUUGAUGGCGACCGGCGCACGGGUGAGUAACACGUAUCCAACCUGCCGAUGACUCGGGGAUAGCCUUUCGAAAGAAAGAUUAAUACCCGAUGGCAUAGUUCUUCCGCACGGUGGAACUAUUAAAGAAUUUCGGUCAUCGAUGGGGAUGCGUUCCAUUAGGUUGUUGGCGGGGUAACGGCCCACCAAGCCUUCGAUGGAUAGGGGUUCUGAGAGGAAGGUCCCCCACAUUGGAACUGAGACACGGUCCAAACUCCUACGGGAGGCAGCAGUGAGGAAUAUUGGUCAAUGGACGAGAGUCUGAACCAGCCAAGUAGCGUGAAGGAUGACUGCCCUAUGGGUUGUAAACUUCUUUUAUACGGGAAUAAAGUGAGGCACGUGUGCCUUUUUGUAUGUACCGUAUGAAUAAGGAUCGGCUAACUCCGUGCCAGCAGCCGCGGUAAUACGGAGGAUCCGAGCGUUAUCCGGAUUUAUUGGGUUUAAAGGGAGCGUAGGCGGACGCUUAAGUCAGUUGUGAAAGUUUGCGGCUCAACCGUAAAAUUGCAGUUGAUACUGGGUGUCUUGAGUACAGUAGAGGCAGGCGGAAUUCGUGGUGUAGCGGUGAAAUGCUUAGAUAUCACGAAGAACUCCGAUUGCGAAGGCAGCUUGCUGGACUGUAACUGACGCUGAUGCUCGAAAGUGUGGGUAUCAAACAGGAUUAGAUACCCUGGUAGUCCACACAGUAAACGAUGAAUACUCGCUGUUUGCGAUAUACAGUAAGCGGCCAAGCGAAAGCGUUAAGCAUUCCACCUGGGGAGUACGCCGGCAACGGUGAAACUCAAAGGAAUUGACGGGGGCCCGCACAAGCGGAGGAACAUGUGGUUUAAUUCGAUGAUACGCGAGGAACCUUACCCGGGCUUGAAUUGCAACUGAAUGAUGUGGAGACAUGUCAGCCGCAAGGCAGUUGUGAAGGUGCUGCAUGGUUGUCGUCAGCUCGUGCCGUGAGGCGUCGGCUUAAGUGCCAUAACGAGCGCAACCCUUAUCGAUAGUUACCAUCAGGUUAUGCUGGGGACUCUGUCGAGACUGCCGUCGUAAGAUGUGAGGAAGGUGGGGAUGACGUCAAAUCAGCACGGCCCUUACGUCCGGGGCUACACACGUGUUACAAUGGGGGGUACAGAAGGCAGCUACACGGCGACGUGAUGCUAAUCCCGAAAGCCUCUCUCAGUUCGGAUUGGAGUCUGCAACCCGACUCCAUGAAGCUGGAUUCGCUAGUAAUCGCGCAUCAGCCACGGCGCGGUGAAUACGUUCCCGGGCCUUGUACACACCGCCCGUCAAGCCAUGAAAGCCGGGGGUACCUGAAGUGCGUAACCGCAAGGAGCGCCCUAGGGUAAAACUGGUGAUUGG